rnacentral:lncRNA from 1 species
AUCAGCUCAUAAAUUUGUGUUGUUUCAGUCCAGAAAUUUUGCAGUAAUUUGUCAUGGCUGCAGUAGAAAAGGAGUCCCCUGAUCAACUGGAAUUCUAAAAUCCAGCUGGGCACAGGUUUCUGGUUCUUUGAGCAGGCCCUGGUUCUGCUCUGGUUAGAAGUCUCUGUGCUCUUUGCGUCACCUUCCAAGAUCUUUGGUUCUGUCCUCUGUUUUAGUCUUCCUUUUCCAUGGUCCACGUGAUAGCUGGGGAGACUAAAUCUGCUUUGGGGGAAAGCUCUGUGGAAUAUUGGUGGCACCGUGGCUCUUCUUCCUUGUCCCCUAAGCCAGUUAAGAAACUGUUAGUACAGUUUUCUUAAAAGUUUUGUGGGUUUUUCUAUGAAUCUUGUUGGGGGUUUACUCCAUGAGAUAAAAGCCACAUGCACAAGUCACUUCAAGAUGGGUCUCUCUGGAAUUGAUGGGGUGCUAUGAGACAAAGCCCAUAGCAUUUGUAGAAACCAGUUAGAAUAGUGGAGAGUUUGUGAAAUCUUAAAAAGAUUUAUAUCUACAUCUUUAAAAUAAUCUUUACCUCGAGUCUUUUUACUUUGAGGACCUCUAGCCUGGAGAUGUUGGGAAUGACUUUGGUGCUUUCUGGUGCUUUCUACAAGUUUUCUCUCUGAAUUAAACCAUAGCAAAUAUUCUUGUCUGCUCUUGCCUGCUAGCUCAUUACAAAUACAGUGCAAUGCAAUUGUUCUCACUUUUUAAAAUACCUCAAAAUCACUUAACAUCUCCAAUGAUACUGAGGCCUGGGUCUUCUCUGCAGAAAUCCAAAUUAAUUUGUCUGGGGUGUAGUCUGGACAGUAGGGGGUUUUAAAAGCUCCCCAGGUGAUUCUAAUAAGCAUCCAAGAUCGAGAACAACUGUGUUAAGCAAUAUUUUACUAUUUUUAGUCAAAGCAAAUUUUAAAACAUAUUUAUUUUGUCCUGUACUCCUAAACUCUUUUUUUCUGUAGGAAUUUCCUAACGGGUCAAAUGAGUGAUAAAGCAGUAUUUUUAGGUCUUUAUAUUUUAAUAAAUUAAUAAAUUCAGAGUAAAAAGCCCAUACAGUUGGCUCUUUAACUUUAUAAAAUCAUUGUGACACAAACCAGGAAUUUCAUAGCUAUCCUAAGAAUAGUGUGAAUAGAUGCUUUCAAUUAACUCUAUGGAAAUACUGUUUUAUUUCAUGGUUUUUAAAUCUAGUUUCUAUACUAGGCACUUUGUGAAUGGUGAUCAAUCCCUUAGUAAGCGGUUUAGAUAGAACUUUAUAUUUUAUAAGGACGAAAUAAUGUGAAUAGGAAGACAUCCCCUUACUGCCUGCAAAUUAAUGUAUCCACAGUUGCCCAUGUUGCUAUGUGUAGCUUUAAAUGUAGGAUAUUCUGGUUCAGUACACAAACUCUUUGUGAGCAAUGUCUUUUUAAAACUGAUUUUGGUUUGCGUUAGAAGAAGUGCUUUUCUUGUUCGGCAGCUGGGUAUGAAUUUAAUUAUUGAAAAUAAAUAUGAUCUAAUGUUUCAUUGAGCUUUCUGAAUAACAGGAUAAUUUGGUCAGCGCUGCUAUCUAAAGAGGCCUGGAAGAAAGCCAAAUCAGAAGAAGCAAAUGCUCUGGUGAGGAGGAAAUUAUCGGCAAAUUCAUGUGAUUUAUUCCAUUUAACAUAAAAUUAAAAGCGGGUGUAGCUUCGCUUGAUACUCUAAAUGCUUCUGUAUCGUGCAACUUGGUUACAGAGAAAUGUUAUAAAAGGGAAAUGGCUGCUGACAUGUGGUUUCACAACCAAAGCCACGGUCCCUGUGUAGGAAUUGCUGCCCACAGUGGCAGCUGGAUGUGAAGGUACAAGACUGGGAACAUUUGCAAUGUGAACAUGUUCUAGGCACAGAAAGUACUUAGGAGUGGAGAGAAACAAGGUCUGAAGUGCAGAGAAUGGAAGCCAGUUAUAUAUGAAACUUGGUGAGAAGCAUUGUCAAAUUUGAAAAAAAAAAAUCCAAAAGUUUACUCAAAAUGACAUAUUAGGUAUGAAAGGAAAUGAAACUUGGAAUAUAUUUGUAAUAAAAACUAAAAAUCUGCCAGCUAUGCUAAAAGAAAGAUUGAAUUACUUUUUUGUUCUCUCUGUAGAUAACAUGAGCUAAUUGUCAUAUAAAGAGAUAGUGAAUAUAUAGAAAAAAAAUGUAGAAAACAUCAUAAAAAUCUGUCAGAUAAGUCAGCUGUAAAAAAAUGAGUAAUUCGUUGUUAUUUAUUUUCUCAUUCUAAAUAAAUAUUCACUUUUGUGCCAAUUUAAAACAAAUUUUAAAAAUGUCUAAGUCUGCCUAUCACACAAAUGUGGGUCUGUCCCUGCUAUUCUCAACUGAAGCCAUUACCUUACGUAUAGAUGUCUCCUUAGCUCCUUCUGGAGCAUAACUUACUUCUUAUUCCUUCCAAUUUCUCUACUCCUGCCUUUAAACCUGCAUGUCUACUGAUGGCUGGAUCACCUCGGAGCUAAAUGUCUAGAUCUGUGCCACUUACUGCUUGGGUUUUGCAUCCCUAGCACAAAGCCCCCUUCCUUGUAAGGGCUAUUCAUACGCUAAUUUACCAAAGGCAGCUGUAUGUAUUUUAACGGAGUUGAUCUGGAGAGACCAGGCCUUAAACUUCUGUGGUUAUUAAUGUGGGAAUUGGGGGGCAAUGUGAACUGUUACAUAAAGGGAAUAGCACCGUGGAGACUUGUAAGUCAUAACGUUUUCGCUGCCUGUGUUUGUCUCUAUUUGAAAGCUAGUUUGUUGAGCUGGGAUUGAGUGAUCCAGAACAUUGAAAUGAGAACAUUCAGAAACUGAGGGAAGCAGGGGAUGGAGGAAGAGACUGAGGGAGAGGUGUUUUUUUUUUUUUUUUUUUUUUUUUUUUAAUUUUUCUUUGAAAGGAGAGGUUUUGAUUUGUAGAUUUGUAGUUGGGCAAAAUAAGUAUUAGCUCUGGGGCUGGUAAUGGGACACCUGAAAACAUCUUUGGACAUAGGAUAUAAGGCUUUCUUGCUGAUCCCAUUAGUUAACCUACGCAGUAGGUGAUUACUCCCCUGUAAUAUAAAGGUCAUUCUUAAUUUUUACUAAUUGAGGUAGCAGACUGGCUGAGUGAAUGAUGCCAGUUUCAUGAAUGAUCAAAUCACUUCAACUGUGGCUUAUAAAGCUUUUGAAAACUAUUGUAGCAGGUUUUUGAUGCAUAAAGGAAAGCAGAAACUACAAGUAAAAAUCUCCCAGGUGUUAGAAAAAUUUAAGGAAAUUUAAUUUCUAAUAUUGAAGGAGGAUGGAAAAAUAAAUGAAAGCUGUAUUGAUGUUUUAAACUUUAAGCAGAAAGAAGUUAUGUUAAUUCUGAGAUCUAAUUGUAUGAUCUGGCUCUAGGCAACUUUUAACUCGUGACUGAUAGGGAAUUGGGAGAAUAUAUUUUUUAUAAACUUUAUGCCAACCAAGUACAUGUGAUAUAAAUAAUAAAUGCAGAAUAAGCAAUUUUCAUUGUGGGAACUCACUGUUUUAGGAAACAGAUGGAACUUUGCAUUUGACUUGUGUAGACUAUCAGGAAACUUUGCUAGAGAAUAUGAUUUAAACAUUUCUUUACCAAGUCAUGAUAUUAAGUCACAUUGGUAAUGAGAUAGGUUGUCUCUGUGGAAGCCAUCUGGUGUGGGGGGUGAGAGUUCAGUAGGGCAAGGUUAUUGUUGCAAAAUUCCUGCAUUCAGUUGCUCUCCAGGUCCUUGUUAGCUGUGUGUCACAGUGCACGUAGGGACAAACUCCAACCUAGUUACUGAGCAAAUUCUAUAGGUCUUCAAAUUCGAAUUUUCCAUGUCCUAUUUUCUCAUGUCCCUCAUCUUCUUAUGAAAUUCUGUUUGGUAUGUUGCAAAAGUUUCUUUUUAUGUCAGCAUCUGUUCUUUGACCAUUUUUCAUCUGUGAAAUGGCAUUGUCACCUACCUACAUUGGUUAGGUGUGAUAGAGAGUUUUAUUUUGCAAGGCAUUUUCUUUUCUUUUUUUUUUUUUUAAUAAAUGUUAGUGGAGUAUAGGUGACUUACAAUGUUGUGUUAGUUUCAGGUGUCCAGCAAAGUGAAUUGGCCACACAUAUACAUAUAUAUCCAUUCUUUUUCAGAUUCUUUUCUCACAUAGGCUAUCAGAGAGUAUUGAAUAGAUUUCCCCGAGCUAUAUAGUAGCUGGGGAAAAAUACAAUAGUAAAAUCAAUCUGAUACUGAUCGAUUUUGUACACAGUGGUGUGUAUAUUUGCAAGGCAUUCUCAAACUUAUUUUUUCCUGAAGGGGCCCCAAAAUACACAAUUAACUCAUUUAUAAUCAGAUUAUCAUGGGAGGAACUUGAUUGUACAAAAUAAUAUGUGUAUCACUCAGGUGGUUUUUGACUUCAAAGGACAAAGACUGUCCCUAAUGAGCUUAGGCCAAAAAAGGGAAUGAACUGGUUCAGGAGCAGAGGAGGAGUUGAAAAUUCCAGGCCUUGGAGUUAUCAUCCUGGCUCAGUGGAAACAAAUCUGACUAGCAUCCAUGAAGAUGCAGUUUUGAUCCCUGGCCUUGCUCAGUGGGUUAAGGAUCCAGCAUUGCUGUGAGCUGUGGUAUAGGUAAAAGAUGUGGCUUGGAUCUGGCAUUGCUGUGGCUGUGGUAUAGGCCAGCAGCUACAGCUCCAAUUCUAUCCCUACCCUGGGUAUUUCCAUAUGCCA